UACGUAGGGGGCAAGCGUUGUCCGGAUUUAUUGGGCGUAAAGAGCGUGUAGGCGGCCAGGUAGGUCCGCUGUGAAACUCGAGGCUCAACCUCGAGAUGUCGGCGGAAACCAUCUGGCUAGAGUCCGGAAGAGGAGAGUGGAAUUCCUGGUGUAGCGGUGAAAUGCGCAGAUAUCAGGAAGAACACCCGUGGCGAAGGCGGCGUCUCUGGGACGGUACUGACGCUGAGACGCGAAAGCGUGGGGAGCGAACAGG
rnacentral:rRNA from 1 species